UCCUAGGAAAACAAACUAUUUAAUGCAAACAAUCCAAAAAGAAAUCUCUAAAUAGUCCCAAUAUUCAAAUUUCUCUCCUAACUCCCUCAAAAAUCCUUCCUAAAUAGCUCAAUUGGCCUGGGCAGUGCGAUCGACACAUACGGGAGGUGGAGAAGUUCCGCCUUUGUUAGCGUGAGACCGGCUGGACCUGUCUAACAAUACUCCCCUCCCAAAGACCCACCUCGUCCGCAAGGUAGAAAGACAACUCCCUAUCAUAAUUUUUUAAAUAAACACGGGUGUCCGCGUGUCCUACACCCAUAUCAUAAUUUUUUAUAAUUAAAUUUUAUUUAAAUUACAAAAUUUUGACUUUUUAUAUUAUUUUAAUCAAAUAAAUUGUGUUAAGGGGAUAUUCGAACCGUAUAUGCAUCAAUACAUGCUCGACUGCCGUAUGCCUUAGGUUUUCGUCGCUCUCCCUGGUCUUUUGCCUCAUCUUCUUUGUUUGUGCGACCAGGCGAGCCGAAUGAGCUGAGGGAGCGCACAACUGAAGCCCGAAACCUCCUUGUCUUCUUGUCUUCUUCUAGUCUUCAUAAUUUAUGCGAUGAGGCGAGCCGAACCGAGCAGGCUACUGUGCUAUUUUAAGCCCAUCAUCGAGGGCAUCAAAGGUUACGACUCUUGUGUUUGCUCUGUCAAAGCCAGAGGAGGGAGAGUGAAGCAGAUAAGUUCGAUUAGAGUAUAGAUUGUUAGUAUUUUUUAUUUCCGCAAGCAAGUGAGCAAAUUAUACUUACCAAUUUAUUUAUUGUUUAUGGUUUUUUUUCCCCUUGUAUUCCCGCUAACCUUUACUUAGUAAGGAAGGUUAGAGAAUAAAAAAAUAUUAGAUACAGAAUGUCGGUCAUACUCGACAUUUUGUACUAAACAUUUUAUAUUGUAAACUAGAAAAGUUAUUAUGACGUUGAUUUUGUAUUGUUUGUCAUUUCUAAUAUGAUGUUACAUUAAUUUCUAAUUUUUUAUACACUAUUUAAAAAACAUUUGUAAUGUCGUGUACGCGCUGUACUUGUUCCAAGUCAUGUCACUGUGUCCGUGCAUCUUAGGGAAUAACUCUCUAAAUCAAAAACCAUAAAUGAAAAUUUGCUGUUGUUGAAUUACCACAUAAAUUUUCAGCAUUAUUUUAAACUUGUUGCAUUUAGUUAUGCAGUGAUAACCACUAGCUAGACGCACUUGCAGCACAGAAGUAAACAAAGAUUUAUAAAAGCCACGUAUUUCUCUCUUAGCAAACAAAACAAAGCAUGAAUGCUAAGAUCUUGAAUAUCCAAACAUCAGGUGUUAUGUUUUGUGUGAAGGUAUAUGCAUACCUUAAGUGGCAAAUUGACAUGUGUUUUAUAGAAUUGAUUCUUGAAUUUGCUAUACAAAAGGCAUCAAUGCCAUUUUUUUCAUCACCUUUGCGGAAGAUUAUCACUACAGCUAAAAUAACCAUAUCAACACUCACCAGAGCUGAUAAAAGCGUCUCACUAUUUUUUCUUUUCUGUUUUCUCAAAAUCAAGUAUUUCAAAGCAAAUCUUAAAAUAAUGCGCGAAAAGUGUUACAGCAGCAGUCAAAAUUUUGUGUCAAAUGAAGCUAAAACCUUGAACAAAGUCAAGAGCAUGCCCAAGCCAGGACAAACGAUGAUAAGAAUUGUUUCCUUCUUGUCCAGAAGAGUUGUUAUUUAUGAACUAGAGAAUUAGAUUAAGUGGGUUAAUUAGAGUUUGUGCUUCCAUGGCAUGUAUAAUAUGCUCCAAACUGACACACCAAAUGAUAAAUGCAUGAUGAAGGGUACGGCUGACUGGGAAGGCCUAUUUGCUACUUGAAAAUUUUAUAGAAUCUUCUCCUACGACCACCAUGCUCCUUUUGAUAACUUCCUGCUGGUUUCAAAAUGAUCCUUGCAGAACAAGGCAAGGUCGAAGUAUGAAAUUGAUGAAUUGUGCUAUGGAUUUGCUUUCUCUUUCCAGAUUUCGAAGGGAAAUACAACCACCGUUUCUUUGCUUUAUCUUAACCGCAAGGAUCAUGACUUUAUCCCGAUUGGCCAAGAUCCCUCUGGUGGUCUCUCGACCACCAACUACAUUGAUCUUUCUCCAUACUCUAGCAGAAGUUACCCCAUGCGCUCAUGGGGAGCACUCUAAUAUAUCACUUUGUAGGGCCAGCUAGACCUGCCCAAUAGCACAAUAUAAUAUAUCACCUAGUAGGGCCAGCUAGACCUGCCCAAUAGCACUUAUCAUUGUACUGCGUGGAUUUUGAUGUUUAGAUGGACCAAAUUGUAGCUAUAUGCUCCAUAGGUUGUUUAUAUAUUUCAUUUACUAUUUUGCUGAGACAGCUGUGAUAGUUUGAGUAGACCUCCAUCAAUCAAAGCCUUCCUUGCCCCUCUAGAUCAUUGAAGUUUUACUUUCUACUUUCAAAGCCCUCUGAUUUGAGGAAUCCACAAUCCUAUUCCACUGUACAGUGCAUGCUUUUGUCGACUCUUCUUAGGCAGCUAUAACCUAAAAUUUAGAUAAUUAUGCCAGAUUAGUUGGCUUCAAAAUUUUCUAAUGUAAAAUAGUUAUUUAAACUUUUUAAAUUUACCCUGAAAUAAUUUCACUGUUACUUACCUGUCUGCCUAUAAUAUCCCAUUAUUAUAUCACUUGAGCUAUACAAUGUCAUGAAAGCCUUAUAGUUUCCUGGUUUCUCUGUUGCGUGUUCUUAUGGUCAUAAUUGAUUCAUUCAUAAGCAUCCCAUGUAUGCUAUCAAUCUUGUGUUGAUUUGUGUUUACCUCUGUGCCAAAGUUAUAUUACUCAACAAUAUGCCAAAGCGUGGCCGCUAUGAUUUUUCCCACCUGAAAUCAUAGAGAAUCUACCAUUAAAUGACGGCAUCUGUAUGAAAUGAAUACCGAUAUCAAUAUCAGGUCUAAUUAUGUACACUACUGUUCAUGAUGUAGAACGGAAAAAAGGAGGCGUUGCAAAGGAGGGGAUUCUUCUUAAUGGAAUCUGAAAUAUUUCAGAUUUUCUGCUUUCAGAAAUCUGAAAGGAAUCCCAACUCUAUGUGUGGGGAGGAAGGACUUGCAGCAAGAGCUAUGGAGUUCCAGCAAAGGGAAGUAAAGGAGGAGGGGAGUUAUGAGAGGGAGGGGAGAGACGGGUCACAGGAAAAAGAGGGAAUUUUAUUUCCAAAACAUGAUUUCUGAUUUUAGGAAAUAAGAGUAAAGCUUUGGAGUGAAGGAAAUUUCUUGCUAAAGCAUUUAGGAGGAGAGGGAAACGGCGGGACCACAGGGAAAAUUAAAUGGAAAUUAAAUUGGGAAAUCCACUUGCAUUAUCCCGUGACAGGUUUGACAUUGGUGGGUUACGGGAAUAGAAUUAAGUGGGAAAAUUUUAUUUCCAAAUUCCAAUUCUGGUUUUAGGAAGUAGAAUAGGUAAUGAUUAAUUAAUGUCUUAAAUCUGAAUUUAAAUUCAAAUUUGAGAAUUAAUGACGAUUGGCUUAAAUGGUGGGAGAGAUUAAUGGGGUGAAUAAUCCUAAUUCGAAUUCAAAUUUUCGAAUUCAAAUUUGCAUUAAUGAAGAACUCUUCCCUAAAUUGAUUACAAGGGAAGGAUUAAGGGAGGCCGGCGGGAUUUUUUUGAAUUCAAAAUUCUGAGAUUUUAUUUCAGAAUUAAUGACAUCAUUAAAUGCCUAAUUAUUAAGAAUGAAUUAAGCAAUAAAUAAAUUUGAAUUCAAAUUUGAAUUUUGAAUUCAAAUCCUUUGUUAACUUAAUCCCUCCAAUUUAGGAAAGGCAAUUAAUAAUUGGAGCAAAGGUGGGGGUUCUCGGUUGGGGUGAUGGAGGGGUUGUUAAAACUGGCGGUUCGAUGGGAAGGAGGAAGGGACCGGUGGCGGUGGAAGGAGGAGAUGGGGAUGUCGACAAGGAGAAAAUGAAAAGAUAACGAAAAGAAUAAAACCACGAACCCGGCCGUCUCCAAGGUUGGUGGGUGAUACGAUUUCCCUUCUCCAAGGGACUCAAAUCACGAGCCCGGACCCAUCCUGCGGCUGGUGACAACUUAGAUUCCUCUCAUAGGAAUCUCACUAACGCUCUCUCACAAGAAGAACAUAAGUGUGGGAAACAAAAUUUUUCAUAUUAAUCAACCAUCCUCAUUACAAUAGCUUAAUGCCCUUAUUUAUAGGCCCCAAUAUGAGAAAAAUCGAAAUUACAAAAUUGCCCCUUGGGCCAUAACACUCAAACAAACUAUCCUAGGGGUAAAACA